AGAACGAACGCUGGCGGCAUGCCUAAUACAUGCAAGUCGAACGAACACUUCGGUGUUAGUGGCGCACGGGUGCGUAACGCGUGGGAAUCUGCCCUUGGGUUCGGAAUAACAGUUGGAAACGACUGCUAAUACCGGAUGAUGACAAAAGUCCAAAGAUUUAUCGCCCGGGGAUGAGCCCGCGUAGGAUUAGCUAGUUGGUGAGGUAAAGGCUCACCAAGGCGACGAUCCUUAGCUGGUCUGAGAGGAUGAUCAGCCACACUGGGACUGAGACACGGCCCAGACUCCUACGGGAGCAGCAGUAGGGAAUAUUGGACAAUGGGCGCAAGCCUGAUCCAGCAAUGCCGCGUGAGUGAUGAAGGCCUUAGGUUGUAAAGCUCUUUUACCCGAGAUGAUAAUGACAGUAUCGGAGAAUAAGCCCCGGCUAACCUCGUGCCAGCAGCCGC
rnacentral:rRNA from 1 species